rnacentral:tRNA from 1 species
UGCCGGGAGCAUCGCCUGGCCCUAAGACUCCGUCGGGUCGGGGGGGGCAGAAGAAAAGAAACUCGUUAA